rnacentral:rRNA from 1 species
GCUUGUCUCAAAGAUUAAGCCAUGCAUGUCUCAGUAUAAGUUCCUGUACGGCGAAACUGCGAAUGGCUCAUUAAAACAGUUACAGUUUAUUUGAUGGUCGUUCCUUACAUGGAUAACUGUGGUAAUUCUAGAGCUAAUACAUGCUAAAAAUCCCGACUUCGGAAGGGAUGUAUUUAUUAGAUUAAAAACCAAUGCCCUCUGGGCUCUCUGGUGAUUCAUGAUAACUUCUCGAAUCGCAUGGCCUUGCGCCGGCGAUGGUUCAUUCAAAUUUCUUCCCUAUCAACUUUCGAUGUUUGGGUAGUGGCCAAACAUGGUUGCAACGGGUAACGGAGGGUUAGGGCUCGACCCCGGAGAAGGAGCCUGAGAAACGGCUACUACAUCCAAGGAAGGCAGCAGG